rnacentral:misc_RNA from 1 species
CUGUGCAUGAGCUUUUCGCUGUUUCUGAUUCCAUUGAGCCAGACACACAAGUAUCUACAUACUCGCUGUACACACGCGCGCGCAUUCGUGUGCUACACGUAUUGGGGGCAUCUCACAGCCCACUUGAGGGAGUGCGUGCGUGUGUGUUUGUUUGUGGGUGCGCGCACGCGGGUGUGUGCUUUGUUGCCGUUGCUGUCUCGAUCAGCUCAUACUCCGGUGCCUGACCCUUUUCCCAGUGUUGUAUACGUCGUGAGGGUCGCUGCUACCCCGUCUGUAUUGCGCUGCCGCCACUAGAACACGACUCACACACUUUUCGAGCGCACCUUCAGCGAUUGUGAUUCCUGUUUACCUCUGCAUCUUGCUUGCUUGCGUGUGUCUGUGUGUGCCACACCAUCAGCGACGUCUCAACGUCCUGCUCAUCGAGGUGUUGUCACUCUUUCGAUUUUCGUCUAUCGGGGUGCCCCCUCUGUGAUGCCGCCAACCGCCGUCGAAAAGGGUAAUGGCGAGCGGGGCGCACAGCGAGCUGUCAGCGGUCGUCGCCCGCAGCGUGGGGGACGUAAGCGCACCCGCGACGCCACCUCCAUCACCCCCGCCUCGCUUCUCGUAGAGCCCGGUGAUGCCCCGACUGAUCAUGCGUUGACGAUGGCGGCGUCUGUGGCUGCGCCGGAGAAUGACGGCGUAGAUCACGCUCCAGACCACUCCUCCGCAUCCGCCACUCCUGCUGGGCGAGACUCUGUGAGUGACCCGCACUCCGCCACGUCGUCCUUUGCCGACGGAGGGGAGGAAGACAAUAUAAACGACGACAGUGAUCCAAGCGGGCUGGUACGCACGAUCACGUCGCCGAUGUUCUCCUCUAGUGACGCCGCCGGGCACAUGACCGACGAGGAAACGGCGGCUCGAGUACUGCAACAGUCGCGCGGCGCCGCACAGUCGAUUCAAGCGCAGGUGGAAAGCUGCGUGUCUCGCUUCAAGCUGAUGGAGACGCGGCUAGACACACUCCUGAAAGAGCGGCAAGAUGCGAAGCCGAAGCUGGAGGAGGUUGCCCAGUCGCGUCAUCUUGAGCGCUACAUGGAAGUGGUGUCGCUGAACGUCGGUGGUGAGCGCUUCACAGUGCCGCUGUCGACGCUGUUAAGCAAGGAUGCCCCAAACUACUUCCACAUCCUCCUCGGAGCCGAGGAGACGGGGUGGGUCGCACCGGUCUUCAAGGAUGAGCACGACACCAUCUUCAUCGAUCGCGAUCCCUCCUGCUUCAAGUACAUAGUCGACUACCUUCGCGGCUACCACUACUUCAACCUACUCAAAGAGGACUCGCUGCGGCGUCUCAAGGUGGACGCUGCGUACUAUCAACUGCCUGGUUUACUGGCAAUGCUGGGGGAUGUCGAUCGUGAUGCUGAGCUGCAGUUCAGCCCCGGCCCGGGCGUCAGCCCCGAACGUAACCGGUUGCGCGUCGUAUAUGGCGUAGCUGUUGUCGGUGACGUGUCGCUUGUCACGGGGAGACACACAAUCACGUAUGAAGUCAAGGUAGCCGACUAUGUCGGGUUUGGCCUCAUCUCCGAGUCCUGCGUCAACACCGACCAGGAGUUCCACAAGAUACCGGACUGCUGUGUCUACUACAUGUCCGGCGUGUUCUACACCAACUACCCGUACCACCGCAAGGAGGAGAACCUGGAGCGCAUCGAGAACGGAGACUUCGUGACGGUGAAGGUAGACCUGGAAAAGGGCUACGUUGAGUAUGUGCUGAAAAACUCGCGCAAGAUGGUCUCCCUCGGCCGCGCUCGUCGCCUGCGCUUCGCAACCACGAUGAAGCUUGCCUCACGCGUGCGAAUUGUCCCGCCAGAGGAGGUGCGACGUCGCCUGUCACCCAUCCACUACAGCUUUGAGGAAUAAGAGGCCGCGCCGGCGAAGAGAGGCUGACAACGCUGAGAAAUGCGCGUCGUGAAGAGCAGUUCGUGGCCAAGAGGAGUUGCAGCACUGCGACGGCAAAGAGUGGUGGGGGUGUAGCGGUGAAUACUAAUGCAUGCAAUGGCAGGCCGUUCCUAGGUAGGUUACGGUACUUCACCUCCUCGUGUGGCACCAUCUGUGUUUCUCCUCGGCGUCAUCAGUCUCUCUGGCGCCGAUUGCGCCGCGCGCAUGUGCGACGACGGGAUGAGACGAGCUCCUGAGGCGCACGGCUCGAUUUGGCGGCAGGGCGGCGUGCCCUAGACGACCAGAGUGUAGCCGUUGUGCCGCAGAGGUGGGUGAGCUGUGCUUGUGCAUGCGUUUAUGUUUGUAGAUGUGCUCGUGGGUAGACUAGACGCCCGGGAAAGGAAAUGAGUCUUUUCUUCGUCUUGUACGUUAUGCUACGUUGUUUGUUACUGCUACGCGAGAGCUAUUGCUGAGGCAAGGCACUCCUGCCCUCUGCCUUUUUUUUUUCGUGCUACCUCCCUCUCACCCUCACAGAACAGAGCAAUUCCCUCCGUCAUCCGCUGCUUGCACCCCUUCUCUUUCACGCUAUGGUGUUCGUCAGUUUGCACGUGUCCGUGUGCGACAGUGCUGUUGUGAGCCUCGCCCGUGGCCGCAGCGGUGGUGGCGCUCUGACGCUCACUCACGACUCACGCACGCACACGGACACGUAUCCAUGAAAAGUGUACGGAAUGGCCACGCAGAGUCAUAUUGCCGCAGCCCUCUCGCUCGUGCCUUCGUCCUUGUUUUGCUGCUGAUCUUCUUCGUGAGGGUGCGUCGGUCCCCGCAGUUGUUUGUUGGAUUGUUUUCCUCUCCAUGUCGGUGGCCCUCCUUUUGGGGUCUCUCGCUCGCUCGUUCUUUUUCUCGCUGCCAUUAUGCUUCCUGCUUUUCCUUUGAUCUCAUUUCGCCCGCCUCUUGUCUAUCUAUAUAUGUGAUGCUGGCACGUAUCUCGUUCCCUCUCUCACUCUCUCUCCCUCCCUGUUGCCAUGAGCGAGCCUGCGGUGUGUGCUGACUUGAUACGCAGGCGUGUAUGUGCCCUGACGAGACUCCGUAUUUAAGUGCGUGACUGUACUUUUUUUUCUUUGGGCGAUGAUUGUUUGCUCUUGUAAAGGGGGAGAGCGGUGCGUUUCCCCGAAAGAAAGGGCGCAGCUGGCGUACAUCUCUGACCUUUCCAGACUGGCAAAGGGACCACAAUGUGUGCGUGUGUGUGUGUGUGUGCCGAGGGAGGGGGCUUCUAUGGGGGCUACCCAACAGCGAGCGGUAGGGUGUAGGAGGUGUGGGCAGCAGAGCUGUCAGGACUUGUGCAGGGAGCAUAGGGCGGCACGAUCUACUAUCUGUUGCUUGCUUCCCUUUUCCCCCUCCAAAACGCUUCAGCAUCUUCUCACUUGACCUCUUCGCGUUUUCCUCACUCCUUCUGCGUCCGUAUCUUAUCCCCCCCCCCCGGACUAGUGUCGGUGUGGAAAGUAGCUCUACGCUGUUGUACAGCUUGUCGCGAAUCUUUUUGCUUACUGUUUCCGUAGAUUGGUAUGCUUUGCGCGGAGGUGUGCGGAGAUGUGCAUGACGCGCAUCGAAAACAAAACACGGAAACAAGUAGUCUUCUGCAAUGUAAUCGAAUCCGAACGUGACGAGCCAACCCAAGUCAGCGCGCAUGAAACGUCAGAGUUGAAGCAGCUGAGAAUUAUGCCAGUCUGAGACAUGCUC